rnacentral:lncRNA from 1 species
UUAAAGACAAAUCCCUCUAUUGUUUUUGCGCAUAUACAAGCGCAACAGUACUAUGCCGUCAGCGGUUUAUGACGUCGCGGUUUCAGCGAACUCGAAACGUAAAUGAGAGUUAUUCCUCUUUGACCCGAUGGAGAGAGUGACAAUCGUUUUGAUCCGUAAAUUUGCCGAGAAGAAAAUAAAAAUUGUUUUUAUAUAAUAGACAUGUUCCAGAAUUGGAUAUACACAUUAAUUAUGUGAAUUUAGUGUAGCUGAAACAAACAACAAAACAGCAAAUUAUGAAAUAUAUGAAUAAAAAAGAGUCAACUAUACAUCAAUCUAACAACAAAAAACACAUAAAACGACUGUCAAGAAGCGGAACAAAAUCUGGAUACUCGACAAAAAGUUGAGCCAAUUAAAUUAUAAUAUAAUACUAAUUUCCUUAAUUUGCCUCGUGUAUGGACUUAUCCGUGUUCUUUAGAGUCAAUCUCUUUUGGUGGGGUUUAAAUUGUAUUUAUAUUUCCAUAAAUCAUUAUGAAAGUACGAAAAUCAUCAAUCAUGUCUUCAAAAUUCAAUGUAUCUAUAGCAAAAGGUACAUUUCGUACAUAUAUACCUAUUUGUAUGGAUAUGGCAAAUACGUAUUUUGAAUGUGCACGGCGAUUACAUUUUUACACGAAUAUGAUAUUAAGAUUUCUGAUAAACACCAACAAAACAGUAACCAUGCACGCAUACGUGUAAAAUAAAGUCAAUCUAGAGAAGUUAACAUAUACCCUUCUAACAUUGUAGGUUUUUGUAUUUGACUACUCCAAGUCUGAUCCGAUUUGCCAAGUUUAAUAUUUAUGUACUAGGUGCGCAAUUUUUAUAUACAAAAAAAAAUAAUCGUGCCUGUGUUUAAAAGUUGUCAGAAUAAAGAAUUAAAGAGGAAUACAUAUGAAAAAAAAUCAAUAGUUUCAUUUGAGAAAAAGAGGUCGGACUAGGUUCUUUUCAUAAUCACGGUAUGACAACUGUAUGAGUAUACUUAGACUGUCUAGCAACAUUACGGAAUAUUUCGAUAUGCAUAUAUAUAUAGAUGCCUAUGAAUGCAUGAUCAAAACAGAAAGUAUGUUAAAUAGACCCCGUUUAUAACACUUGCACAAAAUUGAAUCGAUCUUUAGAGCAUCUCGCAUUUACGAUCUUUUUCUUACUUGUGCGUUUACAUUUAGUAUACAUUGCAGUCAUAAAAAAAUCGGUCUAAUCAUUUCGUUAAGAAAAAAAUUGUAGAAAAUAGAAUAAGGAAAUAUUUGGUUCAUUAGAUAUGCUUUUACAUUUAUUAAUUAUCUUUUUGAUUAACAUGUCAUAAGUCCUCAAAAAACAAAGAAAUGUCAGAAUAAUUUUACAUGUAUAACGGUCAUUUGGUUUGAAGAUGAGGAAUUUACAGAAAAUAAAAAGAAAACAAUAAUAAUGAAUAAAUACAAUUGAAAAGAUAUUUUU